UACGGGGGGGGCAAGCGUUGUUCGGAUUCAUUGGGCGUAAAGGGUGUGUAGGUGGCGCGCUAAGUCGGGUGUGAAAUUUCGGAGCUUAACUCCGAAACUGCAUUCGAUACUGGCGUGCUUGAGGACUGGAGAGGAGACUGGAAUUCAUGGUAUAGCAGUGAAAUGCGUAGAGAUCAUGAGGAAGACCAGUGGCGAAGGCGGGUCUCUGGACAGUUCCUGACACUGAGACACGAAGGCCAGGGGAGCAAACGGG
rnacentral:rRNA from 1 species